rnacentral:sRNA from 1 species
UGGUCAGGGUUGUAGAAAUGGCAUAGAUGGGAAGAGAAUCAAAAUGUUUGAUUUAUUAUAUAUUAAUAAACCCCCCUCUAUAUUCCCGGUAUUUUCAACGCCCUUUUUUUUUUUUUUUUCUUCGGGCAGCUUCUUGUUAAGUAGUGUUGUUUUUGCCGUAACAAAACGGAGGGGAACAUAUAAAAAUUGAGCAAUAAAAAUGGAGAGGCAAAUAUGG